CUAUAUCAAUUACCUCGUACCCCUGCACAUCAACUCAGCACUGAUACUCCCUGUAUAUAGCCAUGUUAUUGCUAUUCGUUAUUCACUGUGUAUUUAUUCCUCGUCACUAUUUAUUUUUUAUUAUUACCUUUAACUCUGCAUUUUUUUGGAACUACCCUUAAAGUAAACAUUUCACUGUUAGUCUACACCUGUUGUUUACGAAGCAUGUAACAAAUACAAUUUGAUUUGAAUAUUCUUUGUGGCAGGAAAUAGGACCUCUGAUACCUACAGUUUAGUAAGUAUCAUUCCAGGCUGUGUUCCUUCCUCCAUCUUGAAUCUGGCCUCUGUGUUUGUUUCCCAACCAGGGUGAUGGACACAAUUUUCCCACCAGGAGCAACAAUGAAUCAAACAAUCCAUUGUUAGCUAAUGUGGGGUGGAGGGAGAGGGAGGCAGGAUCUGAAGAGGAGAGCUUGGCACCUCUGAGAGACCUCCCUGAUGUCAAUAACAGAGCCAGUGAGUCAUGGGGAGAAAGACAUUCUAUGAAGUGGGAUUGGUAGAAUAUGGUGAGGGACUUCUCUGUCAGUGUCAAUAAUGUUUUAUUCUAAGUGUUUGCAUGAUAUGAGGAAUAUGUUCCAAACCUUUACUUCUUUGUGGUUAUUAGCUAGUAGUAACUUGUUUGUCUCAACAGCAUUUGGGCAAGGCAGGCAUAUGUGAAGAUGACUCUUCUUCCCAUACAAAGAUGAUACAUUCCAACCUCAAACUCACUCUGAAAGAAAAGGGGUAUGCUUUGUCAAUACAUCCAAUAGACUGAAUAAUUUAUCACAAUGUAGUUAAUCAUUUAUUUUUGUAUAUGGGUUUUAUCUGUGUAUUCUUUAUUUUUUUCUUGAAUGAUACAAAACGUACAAACAGCAUACAGACACACAGAAACCUCGACGUCACACCCCCAUCGCCCCCAUCACGGCCUCAAACUGCCUCGUUUUGUUUCUCUGUCGCCCACGCACUUUCAACAUUUAGAUAAAGCAUUUGACCUUUCCAUUGUGUUAACGAUGGAGGAUUGAUGACUCCUUAACUACACAUAGAUGUCAUAAGGGCAAUGUAUUUCUGAGCUUCUUUUUCCAGCCUUUUGCACUCUGAAAUGUCCAAAUUGCAUAUUCCAUCAAAUUGCACUUCAGAUCUGGUCAGAGUUUCUCUUGAUUGGUUUGUUUCUUUUCAGUGUUAUGAUACAUUAAAACUGUUUGUGGCAAUAAUAAUGACAACACUAAAGAAAGAAAAAAAGACAAGACAAUAGAAUCAGAGUAUGUGAGCGGAGCGUGCCCUUUUGACUGGAGCGCAGAGCGAGAUCCCCAAAGGCUGGAACGUCGGCCUUCUCGCCCGCUCCAAUUUCGCUCAGUUCAAGGACAUGGCUGGCGUAGCAUGCAUUUGUAGUUUACUUUUGUGCUGCUAUAGCUCACUAAAUAUUUUCAUAAAGAAACUGAUAAAACACACAUGUGCAAAAUCAAGGUGACUUACAAAGAUGAUGACCAAGAGCAAGAGAGGGAUUGUGGUGAUGUAGUGUCCACAACUAAAGAAUCAUUGUGGAAACUGAAAACAUAUCCUGAAAGCACGAUGGUGUACUUAUUAAGUGCACAUGCUAAAAGAAAGGAACUAAGUGUGUCAUUGUAGCAAAGUAUUUAUAAACUAAAAAUAAGAUAUCUUAAAAGUUCUGUUACAUAUAUCUAGCUCUAUACACACACACACACACACACAAUAGGCCAUAAUUGAUUUUGGCCCAAUAAGCCUGGCAUAUUGGGGCAGCAGGGUAGCCUAGUGGUUAGAGCGUUGGACUAGUAACCGGAAGGUUGCAAGUUCAAACCCCCGAGCUGACAAGGUACAAAUCUGUCGUUCUGCCCCUGAACAGGCAGUUAACCCACUGUUCCUAGGCCGUCAUUGAAAAUAAGAAUUUGUUCUUAACUGACUUGCCUGGUUAAAUAAAGGUAAAAUAAAAAAUAAAUAUUCCAACAUUCAAGGAGCUUUCUGUUUUGAUUGGGUUACUUUGCCUAAAAACCUUUAGGCCUACCGAUAGAAAAAGAUAUAUACAACUCUGCAUCACUACCCAGCCUGGCAAGAGUGGCCAAAAGGGUGUUUAGCAUCCCCAGUGGCUCUGCAGAGAGGAUAUUCUCUGCUGCUGGCCUGCUCUCCACGCAUCAUCACAUGAGCAUGAAGCCACAAACUGAUGUUUCUAAAAAUAAAUUCAAAAGGCACUGUAGACUGAGCCUAAUAAUGUUUUCAUUUCAUUCUAAGUCACAGCCUAAAAGCACAAUUUAUAGACUAAUGAUUGAAUACAACUAAACGUUGUUUAAAUGCUGAGCGCUUUGUCCCUAUCAGCCUAUUGUGUUGCACUCGCAAAUGCUGCACAAUAUAUUUCUUUGUAAUAAUUGAAAUAAUAUAGCCUAAAUAUUAUUUUUUUGUUCCUUCUUAGGCUCCUGACCUUUUGAGUGUUUAUACGUUGUUUAAUAUGACAUGUAGCCUAUUUGAAAUGAUGAGCGCUUUUUACAUUCACCUUUUCAUGUUUAUUAUAAUACUUUUCAUUCAAAUCAUAUGGUUUGGUUUCAAUACUUAAAAACCAAAUGCUAGGUCCAGGUAGUCAAAAAAAUAGAUGCGUGCUGGUUAAAUGGUGAUUUUAAUGACUGGAGAGAAUUUGGAGCGGCAUUUUUCCCCGUGAGAGCGGAGAGGUUUGUUGCGGAGUGGUUGGAAAGGACGUGGAGCACCGCUCCAUAAGCGACGAGCAGGAUUUCCGUCUGCUCAACUCCGCUCACAUACUUUGAAUAGAAUAUAUUGAAAAAAAAUAUUUAAAUUAUUUAGACUUUCAAAUGAGGAAAAACAACCUAGAAUGAACUACCAUUACUGAAUAAAUAAAACGGCAGCAGUACAUGCAAGCUCGCUAGACUAGUUCCUAAAAGACCUACAUGGAAUGUGCUUUUUUGUGGUUUCCAGGAAAAUCUUUGCAUUGUUUGUCAGACUGAGGAGCACAGGUUAAGGCGGCGUACACAGCAAAGCAAGAAUCUUCAGCAGGGUAACAACUCCUUUUGAAAUAAGUGGACAAACUGACAGAGGGACCAUUCAAUGGUUGGUUCUCAUAGUAUGGUGUCCCAUUGAAUGGCCCUAGAGGGCUGACUAGUCUGUCCCAAAGUACCUCUGGCCAAAGUGUGUGGGAGCCACA